CGCUGGNGGCGUUCCNUACACAUACGAAUCAAACGGCAGCACGGGGGCAACCCUGGUGGCGAGUGGUGAAUCGGCUGAGUAAUACAUCGGAACGUGCCCAGUCGUGGGGGAUAACGUAGCGAAAGUUACGCUAAUACCGCAUACGAUCUAUGGAUGAAAGCGGGGGACCGUAAGGCCUCGCGCGAUUGGAGCGGCCGAUGUCAGAUUAGGUAGUUGGUGGGGUAAAGGCCCACCAAGCCAACGAUCUGUAGCUGGUCUGAGAGGACGACCAGCCACACUGGGACUGAUACACGGCCCAGACUCCUACGGGAGGCAGCAGUGGG
rnacentral:rRNA from 1 species